GGUUGUGUGGUGUAGUGGUUAUGGAGUGUCAGACAAGAACCUUGGAGACCAGGGUUCAAAUCCCUGCUCAGCCA